rnacentral:rRNA from 1 species
AUUGAACGCUGGCGGCAGGCCUAACACAUGCAAGUCGAGCGGGGUUUUCGGACCUAGCGGCGGACGGGUGAGUAAUGCGUAGGAAGCUGCCCGAUAGGGGGGGAUACCAGUUGGAAACGACUGUUAAUACCGCAUAAUGUCUACGGACCAAAGUGUGGGACCUUCGGGCCACAUGCUAUCGGAUGCGCCUACGUGGGAUUAGCUAGUUGGUGAGGUAAUGGCUCACCAAGGCGACGAUCUCUAGCUGGUUUGAGAGGAUGAUCAGCCACACUGGAACUGAGACACGGUCCAGACUCCUACGGGAGGCAGCAGUGGGGAAUAUUGGACAAUGGGCGCAAGCCUGAUUCAGCCAUGCCGCGUGUGUGAAGAAGGCCUUCGGGUUGUAAAGCACUUUCAGCGAGGAGGAAGGGUGGUGUGUUAAUAGCACAUCAUUUUGACGUUACUCGCAGAAGAAGCACCGGCUAACUCUGUGCCAGCCGCCGCAGUAACAC